CUUCGCAACAGCCGCAUCUACAGCUCUCGACCCCGUUGCGUUGCGCUUUCGCCAGCCAGCCAGCCUGUCGCUCCGAGCUUUGUCGGGGACGUAUCUAUCCUCCGAGGUCGUAAUGGCAAUCGAACCAAGACGACACGGUGCGCUGUGCAACGUGGAAGGAUUAUUAAUAACCAGAGUAAACGAUCGGACGUGACGUCACUCGGUUCGAACGCCGGGAGUAGAGGAACGCUUUGGCAAAGUUCCACUCGUAUCCGGGCGGUUGUCGGUCUGUCACCGGGUCGCUGGAAGAACUUGCAACGUA